rnacentral:tRNA from 1 species
AAGAAAGGGGCAGAGCGGUUAGGUGGUCGGGAUGAAACCGACGUUUGGGGGUUGGACUCCUCCCAUUCUGGU